GACGGCUUAGCAAAGUGGUUACUGCGAUUGAUUCGAAACAACCGCAGGUUGCUUACAUCAUCAAUUCCUCUCUGAGGGCGUAGGUUCGAGUCCUACAGUCGUCG